CAACAAGAUGUUAUUUCCCAUUCCAGAUGCAGAAGUCUUGUAAAACUAUCCCCAGGGUCAAAGAAUAGCCCAUGAAAUUCCCAGCACCUUCCACAAGAGGCUUUCCGAAUUAAGGGAGUGAGGUGACAAGAUGUAGAAGACUUGUAUAACUAUCCCCAGGGUCACAAAACACCCCAUGAAUAUCCAAGCACCUUCCACAAGAGGCUUUCCGAAUUAAGGGAGUGAGGUAGCAAGAUGUAGAAGACUUGUAUAACUAUCCCCAGGGUCACAAAACAUCCCAUGAAAUUCCCAGUACCUUCCACAAGAGGCUUUCCGAAUUAAGGGAGUGAGGCGACAAGAUGUAGAAGACUUGUAUAACUAUCCCCAGGGUCACAAAACAUCCCAUGAAAUUCCCAGUACCUUCCACAAGAGGCUUUCCGAAUUAAGGGAGUGAGGCGACAAGAUGCAGAAGUCUUGUAAAACUAUCCCCAGGGUCAAAGAAUAGCCCAUGAAAUUCCAAGCACCUUCCACAAGAGGCUUUCCGAAUUAAGGGAGUGAGGCGACAAGAUGUAGAAGUCUUGUAAAACUAUCCCCAGGGUCACAAAACACCCCAUGAAAAUCCAAGCACCUUCCACAAGAGGCUUUCCGAAUUAAGGGAGUGAGGUGACAAGAUGUAGAAGACUUGUAAAACUAUCCCCAGGGUCACAAAACAUCCCAUGAAAUUCCCAGUACCUUCCACAAGAGGCUUUCCGAAUUAAGGGAGUGAGGAGACAGGAUAAAGAAGUCUUGUAAAACUAUCCCCGGGGUCACAAAACAGCCCAUGAAAUUCCCAGCACCUUCCACAAGAGGCUUUCCGAAUUAAGGGAGUGACGUGACAAGAUGUAGAAGUCUUGUAAAACUAUCCCCAGGGUCACAGAAUAGCCCAUGAAAUUCCCAGCACCUUCCACAAGAGGCUUUCCGAAUUAAGGGAGUGACGUGACAAGAUGUAGAAGUCUUGUAAAACUAUCCCCAGGGUCACAAAACACC